UGAUACUAAGCCAUGCGAGUCAUUGUAGCAAUACAAGGCAUACGGCUCAGUAACGCGUAGUCAACCUAACCUAUGGACGGGAAUAACCUCGGGAAACUGAGAAUAAUGCCCGAUAGAACAUUAUGCCUGGAAUGGUUUAUGUUCCAAAUGAUUUAUCGCCGUAGGAUGGGACUGCGGCCUAUCAGUUUGUUGGUGAGGUAAUGGCCCACCAAGACUAUUACAGGUACGGGCUCUGAGAGGAGUAGCCCGGAGAUGGGUACUGAGACACGGACCCAGGCCCUAUGGGGCGCAGCAGGCGAGAAAACUUUGCAAUGUGCGAAAGCACGACAAGGUUAAUCCGAGUGGUUUCUGCUAAAGGAACCUUUUGUCAGUCCUAGAAACACUGAUGAAUAAGGGGUGGGCAAGUUCUGGUGUCAGCCGCCGCGGUAAAACCAGCACCUCAAGUGGUCAGGAUGAUUAUUGGGCCUAAAGCAUCCGUAGCCGGCUCUGUAAGUUUUCGGUUAAAUCUGUACGCUCAACGUACAGGCUGCCGGGAAUACUGCAAAGCUAGGGAGUGGGAGAGGUAGACGAUACUCGGUAGGAAGGGGUAAAAUCCUUUGAUCUAUUGAUGACCACCUGUGGCGAAGGCGGUCUACCAGAACACGUCCGACGGUGAGGGAUGAAAGCUGGGGGAGCAAACCGGAUUAGAUACCCGGGUAGUCCCAGCUGUAAACCAUGCAAACUCAGUGAUGCAUUGGCUUGUGGCCAAUGCAGUGCUGCAGGGAAGCCGUUAAGUUUGCCGCCUGGGAAGUACGUACGCAAGUAUGAAACUCAAAGGAAUUGGCGGGGGAGCACCACAAGGGGUGAAGCCUGCGGUUCAAUUGG
rnacentral:rRNA from 1 species